rnacentral:ncRNA from 2 species
CCGAGACGCUAGGGGUUCUGUGCCGCAUCGCCGGCACGGAUGAGAAAAACCCUUUGCACCUGACCCGGUUAACACCGGCGUAGGGAAGCGUCGCACGGUUGUC